rnacentral:rRNA from 1 species
AUGCGCCCCGCACCAGGUCCGGGGGCGUCGGGUGAGCGCGUCGCCGGCCACACACACACAUUCCAAAUGCUGAUGCUCGCGAACAAGAGUAAGGGCCCACAAGCACGUCGAGCUGCGCACGAGGAGAGAAACGUAGGAGGGAGGUACGCGGAUAAUGGUGGCAGCAGUGCACCUGUUCUUCCAGGAUGCAACUAUUCUUCGAGGUGCCUCUUCUUUGUGUGCUGCCAUCCAUGUCUUCUUAUACAUCAUUCCAUCAAUAUUCGCUUUGUGGACGGAUGUCCUUGCAGUGCAAUCGCGAGGAGCGUUCCACGACGCGUCUAUGGCAGAGUACACCAGCCAGGCGUGCACAAAGAGCAUCCCCGGGCACUACGUUAUCUACAGCGAGCUGCUGACCACGGGCGGAGCCGGCGCCAGCGCGAUGGUGGACAAAGAGACCCUCGACGCUCGCUGCUUGGAGAUGGAGGUGGCACUGAAUACCGUUUACAGGCAGAGCAGGGUGGCGGGUGGGUCCAUGGAGCCGGAGGAGCUGAUGGACUAGGCCUUCUCCCGCAGGGCCCCCCAUCAACCGAUACAAGGUGCCCCGGUGUGCUUGACAUUCCCGCCUGCCAUCGAGCUGCUUAG